rnacentral:rRNA from 1 species
UACGUAGGGCGCAAGCGUUGUCCGGAAUUAUUGGGCGUAAAGAGCUCGUAGGCGGCUUGUUGCGUCGGUUGUGAAAGCCCGGGCGUUAACCCCGGGUCUGCAGUCGAUACGGGCAGGCUAGAGUGUGGUAGGGGAGAUCGGAAUUCCUGGUGUAGCGGUGAAAUGCGCAGAUAUCAGGAGGAACACCGGUGGCGAAGGCGGAUCUCUGGGCCUUACCUGACGCUCAGGCGCGAAAGCUAGGGGAGCGAACAGG